rnacentral:rRNA from 1 species
UACGGAGGGGGCUAGCGUUGUUCGGAAUUACUGGGCGUAAAGCGCGCGUAGGCGGCUUUGUAAGUUAGAGGUGAAAGCCCGGAGCUCAACUCCGGAACUGCCUUUAAGACUGCAUCGCUAGAACGAUGGAGAGGUAAGUGGAAUUCCGAGUGUAGAGGUGAAAUUCGUAGAUAUUCGGAAGAACACCAGUGGCGAAGGCGACUUACUGGACAUCUGUUGACGCUG